CACGCAGUCACGGGUCUCCGCCUGCGCUCCAACCGCCCUGCACAAGAAGCCACCACCAUCGCCUGAACCUAGCUCUGGACGUCCCUCUUCUACAUUGCAUCUUUUUAGUCUGCAAGUACACUCGAUUUUCAGGUUUGCUAAUUAAUACUUGGUUUUGACCAGCAAACAAUGAAUAAAUAGUUCCAAUUGGUUGAAAAUAUUAUUUAGGUUUGCUAAUUCAGUACAUGGUUUUGAUCAUUAACCUAUACGCAUGUUGGCACACAAUAUUUGUUUUAAUAGAUCGAUGGUCUGGGCAAGCAGAGAUGCUAACUCUUGGUUCUCAUGGACUCAUGGUUAUCAUCACCUCAAUUAUUGGAUCAGGUUGGGCAAACAGGACGAAGUGUCAUGUAUGCAUUUUUUAGCAUUAUGUUACUGAAAAGAUGCCAGUGAAUAAAAAUGAACGGAACUGCGAUCCAGUUUGAACUAAAGUGACAGACACUUAUUAUGGAUCGGUGGGAGUAAUAUUUAUAGGGACAUUAGGAGUCUGUAAGUUCACAUUUUCCUUCACGGAAAUUCUCUGCUUUGAGUGAUAGUCAAAUUCCCGACUUCAGAUCUUUUUACGCAUUUUGCAUCCAUCAGAUUGGAAUUGUUUUAACCUAAAGAAGAUUCCAAACGUGAUGUUCAUGUGUUUCAUCAGUAAGCACCUAGCAGAAAUAUUUGUUUUCAGAUUUGUGUCUACAUAUGAUGAAAAAAAUCAGGUUCAAUCUUACCCAUCAAUGUGUCAUUGAUAUGCAAAAAAUGUGUAGUUGGCAAUAAAAUAGCUAUUUGCAACUAACUUAUUUAGAUUUGGCAAUGAAGCUUGUCUUGAAGUAAUCAUCAAUUUCUUUGUAUAUUCGUCACUGAUUUAUGGAGAAUGGAGACAUCGGAAAUUGUUGGCUACACUUGAAUAUGUAGUUGCUUAAAGAUUUCUUAUAGCCCUUCCCAAUUUUAGUUUGUUCUCUCAUACAAGAGCAGACCUAUAGAAACUAUCAGUUUGCGCACUGUCCUCUUUCGAUGAAUAAUUGUUUGAUCUAUUUUACUAGAGUUGAACUGUAUCAAAUCUCACAAUUGUGUAGCUCCCUUUUUUUCUCCCUGCUACACAAUAAUUUUGGUUGAGGAAUGGUUACGAUUUUGUUGAUAGUGCUAGAUUUUUUUAAAAAGGUUUAGAGAUAUAGAAGAAUCAUGUACUCUUUUAUUCAUAAUUAAUUAAUAUUUCCUGAAUGCUAAUGUUCAUUUGAAUGAUCACUAUAGCAUCUAUAUUUUCCUGCCAACAAAGGAGGUAUUAUGUAUACCUGUGAGUAGCAGCCAGAAAAUACCAAUGUCAGCAAUUUGCAAGAGGUAAAGACCAUAUAAGGACGGUGCUAUGCAGCUAAAUCCUACUCCAUACUCUGCCAAGACUCAUAUCCGACCAAUCAAGAAGGUAGCAGCUUCUGGAUUCUUCAUUGCUUCAUCUAUGCUCUACCGUGUGUCCAACUUCGAUGAGGACCAUUCUGACUCUAAUAUAGUUUAGUUAUUUGCCUUCUUGAUAAACUUGCUCAUCACUGGUGUUUGAUCAAUUAACCAGUUUUAUCUUUGGUGUAUAUGUAUGUGAGAGCUGUUAAAGUCACAUUUGUGCAGUGUAUACAAGUUCAGACGUGGCUCUCUUAUUUUUUUUUUUAACUUCUGUAACGAUGGCACCAACGUGGAGGAUGAGUGGGCCGACAAAGUGAAGGAAAACGGUCGUCGGUGUUUACUGUCAGGAGUGCCCCAUUUACUACGAGAUGCUCAAGACUCAAGAGUGGCCUCACCGCGUUGCCAAGGUGAUACUACAUAGUUACGUUUUUUUUUUCUUUGCAUUGUCGCUGAAGUAGUGAAAUUUAUGAUAACACCGCUGAUGACUGCUUGAUGAUGCUAAAACAAUUUGGUCUAUUCUGGUUUGAUGCUUUCAAGGAAAAUGGAAACUCCUGUUGUUUCAGUUCAUAUGGUGCAAAUUAAAAUGAUUUGCACAGACUGUGUGUAUUUAUUUUUCUCUCAUGAUACAAAAUACAAGAUUAAGGUGAA